rnacentral:tRNA from 1 species
AAAUCCGUCGAAUCUCUAAAUCGUGAGGGUUCAAGUCCCUCUAUCCCCA